rnacentral:rRNA from 1 species
CACGGGGGGAGCAAGCGUUGUUCGGAAUCACUGGGCGUAAAGGGCGUGUAGGCGGUUCGGCAAGUGAGAUGUGAAAUCCCUCGGCUCACCCGAGGACCUGCAUCUCAAACUGCCGGACUAGAGUAUGGGAGAGGAUGAGGGAAUUCCUGGUGUAGCGGUGAAAUGCGUAGAUAUCAGGAGGAACACCGGUGGCGAAAGCGCUCAUCUGGCCCAAUACUGACGCUGAGGCGCGAAAGCUAGGGGAGCAAACGGG